GGAUAACAGCUGGAAACAGCUGCUAAUACCGCAUAUGCCCGCAGUGCCGCAUGGCACAGCGGGGAAAACUCCGGUGGUAUGCGAUGGGUCCGCGUCUGAUUAGGCAGUUGGCGGGGUAACGGCCCACCAAACCGACGAUCAGUAGCCGGCCUGAGAGGGCGGACGGCCACACUGGGACUGAGACACGGCCCAGACUCCUGCGGGAGGCAGCAGUGGGGAAUAUUGCACAAUGGGGGAAACCCUGAUGCAGCGACGCCGCGUGAAGGAAGAAGUAUCUCGGUAUGUAAACUUCUAUCAGCAGGGAAGAAAACAGACGGUACCUGACUAAGAAGCCCCGGCUAACUACGUGCCAGCAGCCGCGGUAAUACGUAGGGGGCAAGCGUUAUCCGGAUUUACUGGGUGUAAAGGGGGCGCAGACGGCCUGGCAAGCCCGGUGUGAAAGGCAGGGGCAUAACCUCUGGACUGCACUGGGAACUGUCAGGCUGGAGUGCCGGAGGGGUAAGCGGAAUUCCUGGUGUAGCGGUGAAAUGCGUAGAUAUCAGGAGGAACACCGGCGGCGAAGGCGGCUUACUGGACGGCAACUGACGUUGAGGCCCGAAAGCGUGGGGAGCGAACAGGAUUAGAUACCCUGGUAGUCCACGCCGUAAACGAUG
rnacentral:rRNA from 1 species